rnacentral:rRNA from 1 species
UACAGAGGUCUCAAGCGUUGUUCGGAUUCAUUGGGCGUAAAGGGUGCGUAGGCGGCGCGGUAAGUCGGGUGUGAAAUCUUGGAGCUUAACUCCGAAACUGCAUUCGAUACUGCCGUGCUUGAGGACUGGAGAGGAGACUGGAAUUUACGGUGUAGCGGUGAAAUGCGUAGAUAUCGUAAGGAAGACCAGUGGCGAAGGCGGGGUCUCUGGACAGUUCCUGACGCUGAGGCACGAAGGUCAGGGGGGAGCAAAACGGGG